CUUGAUGAUCUUAAGGGCAUUAGUACCACUCUAUGCCAGCACAAGAUUAAAACUGAUCUUGACUUCAAACCAGUUGCUGAUCAUCAAAGGAGAUUAAAUCGUAAGAUGAAUGAAGUAGUAAGAAAAGAAAUAUUAAAGCUCAUGGAAGCGGAUAUUAUCUAUCCUGUUGCUCAUAGCAAUUGGGUGAGUCCGCUGCACUCCGUCCCUAAGAAGGGAGGCAUUACCGUUGUCCCUAAUGAUAAGGAUGAAUUGAUCCCACGGAGGAUUAUUACUGGCUAUAGGAUGGUGAUCGAUUUUAGGAAAUUGAAUAAAGCCACUAGGAAAGAUCAUUACCCUCUUCCUUUUAUCGACCAAAUGCUAGAAAGGCUGUCUAAACACACACACUUCUGCUUUCUAGACGGUUAUUCUGGUUUCUCCCAAAUACUAGUUGCACAAUCUGAUCAGGAGAAAACCACUUUCACCUACCCUUUCGGUACCUUUGCUUAUAGACGUAUGCCUUUUGGCUUAUGCAAUGCACCUGCCACCUUUCAAAGAUGUAUGAUGGCUAUAUUCUCUGACUUUUGUGAAAAGAUUGUUGAGGUUUUCAUGGAUGACUUCUCCGUUUACGGGUCUUCUUUUGAUGAUUGCCUCAGCAACCUUGAUCGAGUCUUACAGAGAUGUAAAGACACCAAUCUUGUCUUUAAUUGGGAGAAGUGCCACUUUAUGGUUAAUGAAGGCAUCGUCUUAGGAAAUAAAAUUUCCGAAAGAGGUAUUGAAGUUGAUAAGGCUAAGGUUGAUGCAAUCGAGGAAAUGCCAUACUCCACAGAUAUCAAAGGUAUAAGAAGUUUCCUUGGUCAUGUUGGUUUCUAUAGAAGGUUCAUUAAAGAAUUCUCUAAGAUUUCUUGGCCUCUUACCAUUCUCUUGCAAACGGAUAUUCCUUUUGUUUUUGACGAUGAUUGUGAGGAAUCCUUCAAAAUACUUAAGAGGGCUUUGAUAACUGCACCUAUUGUUCAACCACCUUAUUGGAACUUGCCUUUUGAGAUCAUGUGGGACGCUAGUGAUUAUGUUGUUGGUGCUGUUCUAGGGCAAAGAGUCGACAAGAAGUUGAAUGUUAUUCACUAUGCUAGUAAAACUCUAGACAAUGCCCAAAGAAACUAUGCUACUACGGAGAAAGAAUUUUUAGCAGUCGUGUUUGCAUGUGAAAAGUUCAGGUCUUACAUAGUUGAUUCCAAAGUCACUAUUCACACUGAUCACGCUGAUAUUAAGUACCUCAUGGAGAAGAAGGACGCUAAACCUAGACUUAUCAGAUGGGUUCUCUGGCUACAAGAAUUUGAUUUGCACAUUGUCGAUAGAAAGCGUGCUGAUAACCCCGUAGCAGAUAACUUGUCUAGGUUGGAGAACGUUCUUAUUGACCGACAACCUAUUGAUGAUAGGUUUCCCGAUCAGCAAUUGAAUGUCAUAAAUACUUCACGUAGUGCAUCGUGGUAUGCUGAUUAUGCAAACUAUAUCAUUGCCAAAUAUAUACCACCUAGUUUCACAUACCAGCAAAAGAAGAAGUUCUUCUUUGACUUAACACACUACUUUUGGGAUGAUCCUCACCUUUAUAAGGAAGGAGUAGAUGGUGUUAUUAGACGUUGUGUACCUGAACAUGAACAGGGACAUAUCCUACAAAAGUGUCACUCCGAGGCCUUCGGAGGACACCAUGCGGGAGAUAGAAUUGCACACAAUUUAUUGGAAUCAGGUUUCUAUUGGCCCACUCUCUUCAAGGAUGCCCGUAAGUUUGUCUUGUCUUUAGACGAAUGACAAAGAAUAGGUAAUAUUAGCAAACGUCGGGAAAUUCCUAUGACUAUUCACUUGUCAUUGAACCAUUUGAUGUUUGGGGCUUUGAUUAUAUGGGACCUUUUCCAAAAUCGAACGGGUAUACUCAUAUCCUAGUUGCUAUUGAUUACGUCACUAACUAGGUAGAAGCUAUCCCACUAGUAGUGUUGAUCACAACACCUCUAUCAGGAUGCUGAAAGAAGUUAUCUUCCCUAGAUUUGGAGUCCCUAGAUAUCUAAUGACCGAUGGUGGUUCACACUUUAUUCAUGGCGCUUUCCAUAAAACACUUGCUAAGUACGAUGUCAACCAUAGAAUUGCGUCUCCCUACCACCCUCAUUCCAGUGGUCAAGUAGAGCUAAGAAAUAGAGAGAUUAAACUAAUUCGGAAAAAGACUGUCAACAGGUCUAGAAAGAAUUGGUCUAAGAAGCUCGAUGAUGCACUGUGGGCUUAUAGAACUGCCUAUAAGAAUCCCAUGGGCAUGUCUUCGUACAAAAUGGUGUAUGGUAAAGCAUGUCAUUUACCUCUUGAGCUAGAGCAUAAAGCUUAUUGGGCAAUCAAAGAGCUCAACUUUGAUUUCAAACUUGCCGGUGAGAAGAGGUUAUUUGAUAUUAGCUCGCUUGAUGAGUGGAGAACUCAGGCAUAUGAGAAUGCAUAGCUUUUCAAAGAGAAGGUUAAGAGGUGGCAUGAUAAGAGGAUACAAAAGCGUGAGUUCAAUGUAGGUGAUUAUGUCUUGCUAUAUAACUCUCGUUUAAGAUUCUUUGCAGGCAAGCUUCUCUCUAAAUGGGAAGGUCCCUAUGUUGUUGAGGAAGUAUAUCGUUCUGGUGCUAUCAAGAUCAACAACACGGAAGGUAAUUGUCCGAGAGUUGUAAAUGGGCAGAGAAUCAAGCAUUAUAUCUCUGGUACUCCCAUAAAUGUUGAAAGCAAUAUUAUCAAUACCAUAACUCCGGAAGAAUACAUAAGGGAGAUUUAUCAUCCUGUUUCAGAAUCCGAAAACAAAGAGGUAUGUGUUUCGGUAAGAAAACAGAGUCCAAAACUUUUCCAGUAGGAAAUUUUCUCCGUUUUGGAAUAUUUGAAAAAAUACAAAAAUUGGAAGUAGUCUGGAAAGUGCGCGAGGAGGCGACAAGCCUGCACGGCGCUGGCCCACCCCCUGGACGCACCGUGAGUACUUGUGUCCACCUCGUGCGCCUCCCGGACUCUGUUUUCGGGUAGGGUACUCCUUCUGGUGUGGAAAAAAUCUUUAUAUAUACCCCCGUUUGGUCUGACCCCUGCAUCACGCAGAUUUCCUUUGUUUUUUGUUUCGAGCCUGUUUCUGCCGCAGAUUUAGGGCAAGAUGUCUUCUCAAGAUUCAGAGGGGGAGAGCUUUGUGGUAGAUUACCUUGCUAAUCCCAAGGUCUAUCGGGACUUGGAUCCUUAUGGCUGGACCACUGAUGAGGAAGAAGAUUAUGAUACGAAGGGGAAGUAACAAACAAGUUCCGAUGAAGAGGAGGCUCCUCUACCUCAACCUGGACACACGCAUGUGGAGUUCAAGAAGUCGAGCCUCCCUAACUCAAGGAAGAAGUCUAAGACUUUGCUUAUCCCUUCUCGUUUCUUGCAGGAGAGUAAGCAGGAAUUAUGCCAAAGGGUGUUGAAGCUUGAGGAGGAAAAUGAUGAUCUGAGGGAGCAGAAUUUUAUGCUCACGUGGAAAUUAAACAAGCUCAAGACCUCUGCAACAACUCCUCCAUCACCACCAAAGGAAGACAACUAAACAUUGGUAUGGGCAAUCCCCUUGGCUUGUGCCAAGCUUGGGGGAGUUGCCCCGGUAUCGUAUCACCAUCACAUCUUUUGCCUUUACCUUUGUUUUAGUUUUCCUUUUUAGUUUUCUCUUUCUCUAGUAGAUUAAAAGUCUUAGUGUUUUAGUCUUGAGUUUUGCUUUGUGUCACCCCCGAUGUAUUCGAGCUCGUGCGCCAUAUAAUAAAGAAUGUCUUAGUUGAAGGGCUUUGCCUCUUGCCAUGAUCAAAAGAGUGAGAAUAGAACAAAAGCAUGAAAGAUCAUGUAAUGAUCUUAUGGGAAGUGAUGGCUUCACAUAUAAAAAGAAUGAGGAUUGAAACUUGUUGAGGGUAGGCAAACGUAGACCUUGGUCAUUGUUGAAAUUAAUAGGAAGUGAUAAAGAAGGAGCGGUUCACAUAUAAAUAUAUCAUUGUUGACACCAUCUAUGAUUGUGAACACUCACUAAACUAUUGCAUGCCUAGAAGUAGAUGUUGGACAAGGAAGAGAACAUAAUGAAUUGUGUUUGCUUGGUUCCGAACAAUGUUAUAUGAUUAGAGAUCCCUUAGCAUGUGACGAUUGCUUCCACCUCAUAUUAGCCAAACCUCCCGCACUAAGUAGAGAUACUACUUGUGCAUCCAUAAACCACCAACCCAGUUUUGCCUUGUGAGUCCACCAUACCUACCUAUGGAUUGAAUAAGAUCCCUCAAGUCAGUUGUCAUCGGUGCAAGCAAUAAAAAUUGCUCUCUAAUAUGUAUGAUCUAUUAGUGUGUGGAAAAUAAGACUUUGUACGAACCUGUGAUGAGGAAGACAUAAAAGCGACAGACUGCACAAUAAAGUUUUUAUGACAGGGGGCAAUAUAAAGUGACGUUCCUCCGCACUAAGAGGACACGCAUCCAAACCUCAAAAUCGCAUGACAACCUCUACUUCCCUCUGCGAAGGGCCUAUCUUGUACCUUUACUUUUUGCCCUUGGAAGAGUCAUGGUGAUCUUCACCAAUUCCUUAUCUCGCCUUUAUCUUGGCUAACGGCAUAUGCUUGGAAAAGAUCUAUAUUCAUAUGUCAACUUGGAAGUAAGUAUUCAUGAAUUAUUAUUGUUGACAUUACCCUUGAGGUAAGUAGUUGGGAGGCAAAACUGUAAGCCCCUAUCUUUCUGUGUGUCCAGCUGAAACUUUGAUCUCAUGAGUACCACGUGAGUUGUAACAAUUGUAGAGAACAAAAGAAUGAUUGAGUAUGUGCAUUACAAACUCUUAUAUGACUCUUUCUGAUGUUGUGAUAAAUUUCAAUUGCUUCAACGACUAAAGGCUAUCGGUUGUUACGUCUCAGUAAGGUUCUUGAUCCAUGCUUUACUUUGUGAAGGAAUUAUCCCUUUUGCAUGAGAGAUUAUAUGUUGGUAUUGCUGUUCUGAUCAUCAUCAUGAUUCAUGCAUGUUCGUAUAUUGUUUUGUUGACACCUCUCUCCCUAAACAUAUGGACAUAUUUGUUGAUCUAGGCUUCAGCUUGAGGACAAGCGAGAUCUAAGCUUGGGGGGGGGGGGGUUGAUACGUCCAUUUUGCAUCAUGUUUUCAUGUUGAUAUUUAUCGCUUCUUGGGCUGUUAUUUCACUUCACGGUGCAAUUCUUAUGCCUUUUCUCUCUUAUUUUAAAAAGGUUUACAUGAAGAGGGAGAAUGCCGGCAACUGGAAUUCUGGCCUGAAAGUGGAGCAAGUUUGAGAUACCUAUUCUGCGCAACUCCAAACGCCGUAAAAAUCAACGACGAUUUUUUUCCGGAUUUAUAAAAAAUAGUGGGCCGAAGAAGCGCCAGAGGGGCGCGUGCAGGUGGCCACAAGCCUGCACGGCGCGGUCACCCCCAGGCCGCACCAUGAGGGCUUGUGGGCAGCCUGCUGGCCCACUGGCCUCCUCUUCUUCUAUAUGAAGGGUUUCGUCCAGAAAAAAAAAUCAAGGAGGAGCUUUUUCGUGGAUUCGCCGCCGCCAUGAGGCGGAACUUGAGCAGAACCAAUCUAGAGCUCCGGCAGGACGAUCCUGCCGGGGAAACUUCCCUCUCGGAGGGGGAAAUCGUCGCCAUCGUCAUCACCAACACUCCUCUCAUCGGAGGGGACUCAUCACCAUCAACAUCUUCAUCAACACCAUCUCAUCUCCAUACCCUAGUUCAUCACUUGUAACCAAUCUCCGUCUUGCGACUCUGAUUGCUACUUGUAAGGUUGCUAGUAGUGUUGAUUACUCUUUAUAGUUGAUGCUAGUUGGAUUAUUUGGUGGAAGAGUUUAUGGUCAGAUCCUUGAUGCUACUUAUUACCUCUCUGGUCAUGAAUAUGAUUAUGCUUUGUGAGUAGUUACUUUUGUUCCUGAGGACAUGGGAUAAGUCAUGCUAAUAGUAGUCAUGUGAAUUUGGUAUUCGUUCGGUAAUUUGAUAUGUUGUAUGUUGUUUUUCCUCUAGUAGUGUUAUGUGAACGUCGACUACAUAACACUUCACCAUUAUUUGGGCCUAGAAGAAGGCAUUGGAGGUAGUAAGUAUAUGAUGGGUCGCUAGAGUGGCAGAAGCUUAAACCCUAGUUUAUGCGUUGCUUCGUAAGGGGAUGAUUUGGAUCCACUAGUUUAAUGCUAUGUAUAGACUUUAUCAUCAUUCUUCUUUCGUAGUUGCGGAUGCUUGCGAGAAGGGUUAAUCAUAAGUGGGAUGCUUGUCCAAGUAAGGGCAGUACCCAUGCGCCGGUCGACCCACAUAUCAAACUAUCAAAGUAACGAACGUGAAUCAUAUGAACAUGAUGAAAACUAGCAUGACAGAAAUUCCCGUGUGUCCUCGGGAGCGUUUUUCCUCCUAUAAGACUUUGUCCAGGCUUCUCCCUUGCUACAAAAGGGAUUGGGCCACCUUGCUGCACCGUUGCUACUUUUGUUACUUGUUGCUUGCUACGAAUCAUCUCACCACACAAUCACUUGUUACCGACAAUUUCAGUGCGUGCAGAUUUUACCUUGCAGAAAACCACUUGUCAGAUCCUUCUGCUCCUCGUUGGGUUCGACACUCUUACUUAUCAAAAGGACUACGAUUGAUCCCCUAUACUUGUGGGUCAUCAGUGGAUAAGGCUAAAGUUAAUGCAAUUGAGAAUAUGCCAUGACCCAAAGAUAUGAAAGGUAUCCGUAGUUUCCUUGGUCAUGAUGGUUUCUAUAGAAGGUUUUUUAAAGACUUCUCUAAAGUUUCUAGGCCUCUUACUAAUUUAUUACAAAAUGAUGUUUCUUUCAAUUUUGAUGAUGAUUGUGUAGAAGCCUUCGAAAGACUUAAAAAAGCCUUAACUUCUCCAUCUAUUGUUCAACCACCUCAAUUGAAUUUUCUUUUUGAAAUUAUAUGUGAUGCUUGUGAUUAUGCUUUUGCUGCUAUUCUAGGACAAAGAGUUGAUAAGAAACUAAAUGUCAUUCAUUAUGCUAGUAAAACUCUAGACCGUGCCGAGAGAAAUUAUACUACCACUGAAAAUGAUUUCUUACCAGUUUUAUUUGCUUGUGAUAAAUUGAGAUCUUACAUUGUUGAGUCUAAAGUAAUUGUUCACACUGAUCAUGGUACUAUUAAAUAUCUUAUGGAAAAGAAAGAUGCUAAGCCUAGACUUAUUAGGUGAGUUCUCUUCCUGGAAGAAUUUGAUUUGCAGUUGAUAGGAAAGGAGCUGGGAACCACAUACUUGAUAAGUUGUCUAGGUUAGAAAAUGUUCUUGAUGACCCGCUACCUAUUGAUGAUACACUUCUUGAUGAACAACUAGCUGUGGUCAAUGUUUCUCAUAAUACACUAUGGUUUGCUGAUUAUGCUAAUUACUUUUUUUCUAAACACAUACCACCUAGUUUCACCUAUCAACAAAAGGAAAAAAUCUUCACUCAUUUAAGACAUUACUUUUGGGAUGACUCACAUCUUUAUAAAGAAGGAGUAUAUGGUAUUAUUAGACAUUGUAUACGUGAUCAUGCAUAGGAACAAAUCCUUCGAAAGUGUCACUCUGAAGCUUAUGGAGGACACCAUGCAUGAGAUAGAACUACAAACAAGGUAUUACAGUCUGGAUUUUAUUGGGCUAAUCUAUUCAAAGAUGCUCGUAAGUUUGUCCUAUCUCGUGAUGAAUGUCAAAGAAUUGCUAAUAUUAGUAGACGUCGGGAAAUGCCUAUGAAUUAUUCACUUGUUAUCGAACCAUUUUAUGUUUGGGGAUUUUAUUAUAUGGGACCUUUUCCUUCCUCCAAUGGGUAUACACAUAUUUUGGUUGUUGCUGAUUAUGUCACUAAAUAUGUACAAACUAUUCCAACCAAUAGUGCUGAUCAUAACACCUAUAUUAAGAUGCUUAAGGAACUUAUUUUCCUACGUUUUGGAGUCCCUACAUAUUUCAUGAUUGAUGGUGGUUCACAUUUUAUUCAUGGUGCUUUUCUCAAGCUGUUUGCUAGAUAUGAUAUUGACCUUAGAAUUACAUCUCCCUAUCAUCCUGAGUCUAAACCAAUAGAGAAAUAAUAUUACUAUUUCAAAAGACUGUCAAUAGGUCCUAAAAGAAUUGGUAUAAGAAAUUAGACGAUGCAUUGUGGGCCUAUAGAACAACUUAUAAAAAUCCUAUGGGUAUGUCUGCUUAUAAGAUGGCUUAUGGGAAAGCAUGUCAUUUACCUCUUGAGUUAGAGCAUAAAGCAUAUUAGGCAAUUAAAGAACUCAACUAUGAUUUCAAACUUGCUGGUGAAAAGAGGUUAUUUGAUAUUAGCUCAUUAGAUGAAUAGAUUACCCAAGCUUAUGAAAAUGCCAAACUAUUCAAAGCAAAAGGUUAAAAGAUGGCAUGACAAAAGAAUUCGAAAGCGAGAAUUCAAAGUUGGUGAAUAUGUUCUAUUGUACAAUUCUCGUCUUAGAUUUUUUGCCGGAAAACUUCUCUCCAAAUGAGAAGGACCAUAUAUCAUCGAAGAAAUUUAUUGGUAUGAAGCUAUUAAGAUCAAUAAUCCGAAGGUGGUCAAUGGAAAAAUAAUAAUGUCGACGUUUUCUCAUAGGUUGUACCCCAUCACGGCAGAUGCCAUGGGAUGGCUUAAAGAGGUGAGAGCAAGGCUGCCGUGGAGAUCCUGGACGGGAUAGGGUAAUAGCACGCGGUGGUUUACCCCGGUCCGGGGCUCUUCGGAGAGAUAAUACCCCUACUCCUGCAUGUCUGUAUAUGAGGUGUAUAUGUAGUUCAUAGUUGCUCCUCGAGGUGUAUUGGAGAGGAGAGCCAUGGGCUUCUUGCCUGAUACGUGACUGUGAGAGGGUGUGGGGAUGACAGAAUGUCCGACC
rnacentral:lncRNA from 1 species